UUUUCACGCCUCUUCAUCUGGAAAUGUGCUCUUCUCCAGCUAAUUUUUUUCAUCUCUUCUUCUACUUUCUCAGGAUUGCUCUCCUCAACUCUUUCUUUUGUAAUUUCAUUCUAAUUUUGCACAUUUUUCUACCUUAGUAGGUGUAAUAAUCAGUCAUCUAAACGGUCGAUAUUAACUUUUUAGAUUGAGUUUAAUUUUUAGUGUUGAAGAACAUGAUUUGAGUGAUCAAGCUCAGAUCCAUGCUUAAAUUGAGUGAAAUUAAGAUUUCUCUGUUUUGUGUUUUUGUGAAUAUGAACAAUACACACCGUUUCUCCUCAUCUUCAUGUAGAGAUGCUUCAGAUCCAAUUUCACAUAAAUGAAUCUUUGCAUGUCAGCUCAGAUACCAUUGUUGAUGUCUUCGCCAGCUCUCCUACUCUUGUUAGCUUGUUUAGCAACAAAAUCGUAGCUGAUGGAAGACUAAAGAGAAUUUUGCAAAUCAAUGGCACCGGGUGGACGUGUCUUCAAGCAGACUACACUUACAGGGGAAACUAUUCAAGCUACUCAAUCACCGGAUGAAUCAAAUAACAUUACCCCUGUUGUUAUUACAGGUAACACAUUUUAUUAAAUUUACUAGUAUUAAGUUAUUGGCCAAGUUGCAACCAAAAAAAUUAACUAUUGAAACUUCCAUCAUGUUAAACUUUUAACGAGAAAAUGGACAUUAGCUCAGUAUCUCAGUAUCUGAGGAUUUGCGGAUGGUGAGAAUGAAGUUAGGCAAGUAAAGUAGUAGGAUAAAUGAAGUUGAUUCUUUUUACUCUAGUCAAAAUCAUUUAACCUCGGAUGAUGGGGAUGAUUAGCAAGUUACUGAUAAGCAGUUAAUGAUAAUUUAGAAAUGAAGCUUGUUUAGCUUUGAUUAUUUCUACA